rnacentral:rRNA from 1 species
UACGUAGGGUGCGAGCGUUGUCCGGAAUUAUUGGGCGUAAAGGGCUCGUAGGCGGUUUGUCGCGUCGGGAGUGAAAUCCACUGGCUUAACUGGUGGCUUGCUUUCGAUACGGGCAGACUGAGGCAUGCAGGGGAGAACGGAAUUCCUGGUGUAGCGGUGAAAUGCGCAGAUAUCAGGAGGAACACCGGUGGCGAAGGCGGUCUCUGGCGAAUGUCUGACGCUGAG